rnacentral:rRNA from 1 species
GAUGAACGCUGGCGGCGUGCUUAACACAUGCAAGUCGAACGGGCCAUGGCAGCUUGCUGUUGUGGUUAGUGGCGAACGGGUGAGUAACACGUGAGUAACCUGCCCUCUUCUUUGGGAUAACUGCCUGAAAGGGUGGCUAAUACUGAUUAUUCUGCUGAUUCCGCAUGGUUUUGGUUGGAAAGAUUUUUUGGUGGGGGAUGGGCUCGCGGCUUAUCAGCUUGUUGGUGGGGUAAUGGCUUACCAAGGCUUUGACGGGUAACCGGCCUGAGAGGGUGACCGGUCACAUUGGGACUGAGAUACGGCCCAGACUCCUACGGGAGGCAGCAGUGGGGAAUAUUGCACAAUGGACGGAAGUCUGAUGCAGCGACGCCGCGUGAGGGAUGAAGGCCUUCGGGUUGUAAACCUUUUUCGCUUUUGACCAAGGCAUCAUUUUGGUGGUGUUGAGGGUAUGAGGUAAAGAAGCUCCGGCUAACUACGUG